CCCUUAGAUGUUCUGGGCAGCACGCGCGCUACAAUGGUCUUCGCAAACGGAUGCAUUCUCGAAGGAGAAUGCCAAUCUUGGAAUCUAUGCCUUGGUCGGGACAGUUGCUUGCAAUUUUUCGACUCGAACCAGGAAUUCCUUGUAAUCGUGAUUCAUCACAUCACGAUGAAUACGUCCCUGCCCUUUGUGCACACCGCCCGUCGCUCCUACCGAUCGAAGAGUUAGGUGAAUUGUUUUGAUCGAUAAGAUUUGACUAUGGUCAACUCUCGUUGGGAAAUUCUGUGAAUCUGACUGUUUAGAGGAAGGAAAAGUCGUAACA
rnacentral:rRNA from 1 species